ACCUCAUUUAAGGUCUGGUAGCCACAAAAGAAGCAUCUGUGCUUAGUGAUUGCCUCUUUUGGAGUGUUUGGUGAGCCCUCAUCUUUGGAAAGGGGAUAGGUGGAAAUGAUCCAUCCAGGAAGAUAAUGCCACCCCAGCUCUGCACAAGAAGCCUAUGUUGUGAGCACAGAGCUGAAAAUUGGAGUGAAAUCACCAGCAUUUGAGAUACCUGCUCUAAAUGCAAGAGGCUCUUCACCCAAAGGAGUGCUCAACUAACAUGUUGGUUUCUGCCCACAAGCUCUUGAUGCUUCAUAUCUCUGAGGACUGCAGUAACAGUAAGGGAGGUGAAAACAGACAAAAAAUAAUAGCAUAUUUCAGAGAAACAACUUUACUUUUUCCACUUUAAGCUGAAGCAGUGCAUUGUUGAAGAAAAGCUAAGCCAGAAUAAUUCUUCACAGCUCAUUUUUAUGGAAGAAACCCAGAACACAGAUUCCUCAGUCUUUCUAUGUUGUCUACCUCCUUGCUCAAAUUAUGCAGAUAAAGAGAGAAAGUGUGUGAGCAAAAAAAAACGAGAGGCCAGGAGCCUGUGUGGCACUGGGGAAACCCAGAAAGCUGUGACCUUUAUCUCUGUGCUUUCAUUUUCCUGCUGGAAGAAAGGUGCAAUCAUCUUUCCUUGUAGAAGUGUUGUGGAGAUGCAUGUAUUCAGACUUUGCAGAACUGUAGGAAUAAAUGAUAAAAUAUUCAGUUUGGAUUUGUGGUUUAAAUAAGGCCCGCGAGCCACUGAUUGCAUGCUGCGAGUAGAAAGAGGUCUUCACUAGGCAAGGCCAGCACCCAGUGGAAGACAUAGGAAAGGAGCAUGUACUUAAAAACCACAUCCUAAUGCACAAAUAAAU